CAGAAAAUAAAUAAAUAAAACAAUCCUAAUUCAUCUUCCGCGAAAAAAGAAAAAAGAGGGAAAAUACCCAAAAUCUGUAAGGGUGAAAGUACAUCCUUAGCCCUGUGGCACCCUAUGUAAUGGUUCCUUCAUCAAUCGUCACUCAUAAAUCAAUUCUGAAAAUAGUGCUAGGGUUUGUUUUCUUUUCGCCGCCGACCGUCGCUCUUCUUUCUGCAAUACAGCUACUUCGUCGUCGUCGUCGUCGACGAUUCUUUUCGUAUUCAUCGGUGAUGAAACAAUAUUAUUGUUAUCCUUGCACUUUGAUUUACCAUGAAGAAACCCAUGGGGAAUAUUGUUCCUGAGAUGCUUUUGUUCUCUAGAAGGUCGCUAGUUUACGAUUUUGUAGGUCAUUGUUUUUUUUUUUUUUUUUUUUCUUUUUCUACUUUAUAUCUAGACCGAUGAUGCGAUUACAAAUCUGCGUUAUCUAUCUGCAAUUUCCUGCUAGGAAUUGAAGAUAAACGUAUAAUCUCUGAGAUCUGUUUUCUUACUCUAUUGUUUCCCCCCGAGUCUUAUUUUAUUUCUUAGAGAUAUAGGUAUUUGUUUGAAUGGUUAAUUGUUUAUAUGCGUUUACCAAUACAUCCCUUGGAUCCAUGAUGUUUAUGAAAAACUGCGUUAUCUAUCUGUAAGUUCCUCCUAUAUGGAGUUGAUGAUAUUGUUGAUUUCUGAGAUCCAACAGCGUUGUUUUCAUUGGAUGGUUGUUGGUGGGUAGGUUUCGUUCCAGAACGUCCGUUUUCAACUUUUUGCCGGUUGGUGGUUGAUGAGUUUUGUUGUCAUUUGUCCCCAGAACCAUUUCUUUGUCUCCUUCUCCUGUUUUCAACACCUACUACUUCAUAUCCACCAAUCUCAAUAGGUAGUAACUUGAAGCUGCUUUGCCUUUUUAUGGCUGUUCGCUGUUUGUUUUGAUUUUUUUUUUAUGCCUGAUUGGUAUUGCCUGCCAUUUUGUAAAUCGAUGAAUUAAACAUUUACUUUUUGUUUCUGCUUGAUUCAUUCUCGACUUAGGGUUUCUUUUUUCUUUUCCUUUUCCUGCCAUUUUGUUUUGGUUUCCGUAAUGCUCUAUGUUUUUGAAAAUUCAAAUUCCAAAAACAAGUCAAUUUUUUCUUUAAUUUUUGUUUUCUGAUCUUAGUUUGGAUUUUGUUCACACUCACAUAGUCUUAAAACUAUUUUGGACUUGAGAUACCACAAAUGUUUGCAACUCCUCGCGGAAUAAUUGUGAUGUAAUUGCAAAUGCUUACAACACCUUCUGUACUGGGAGAAGAGAAUGUUAUGUUCUUCUGGGUACGUAGAGAAAUCAAUCUUUUGGAAGCGAAGAGAGUGCGAAUGUAGAAUACUAAUUCUUUUAAUUGUAAAUCUUACGAUCCUCAAUUACUGAAGUUAUAUAAUUUAGAAUCCAGGUUACAUUGUCAUGGUUAAUCGUUCAUGCAUUCAAGUAUUUUUCUUUAACUUUUGAACUAUUAUCAAACUUGUAACUAUAAAAUGAACCUGUUGUAUUGAG